UGGGGGGGCGAGAUAGCUGCGGUUGCCGGCUUUAUCCGCCGAAGCAUGUCUGCCGAAGCCUUGGCGAAGGCAGACUUUAGCGUAGGCGGAUAUCGGCAUCCGAGGAAAGUCCGGGCUCCGGUCGGGCCGAGACUGGGUAACACCCAGGUUCCGCAAGGAAACGGAAAGCGCCACAGAAAAUAAACCGCCGUUCCCCCUCCCCUCACCUUUCCCCAAUUGGGGAAAGGAAUUAAAGGUGAAGGGUUCGGUAAGGGUGCAAUGGUGAGGUAAGAGCUCACCGGCGGCAAUCGCAAGGUUGCCGUCUGGCAAACACCUCUCUGGAGCAAGGCCGAGCAGGGGGAUGGACGCCCGCUCCGCAAAAACCCCGGGUAGGCUGCUUGAGCCCUGCCGUAAGACAGGGCCAAGAGAAAUGGCUAUCUAAACAGAACCCGGCUUAUCGCCCCCCACACAAU
rnacentral:RNase_P_RNA from 1 species